rnacentral:rRNA from 1 species
UACAGAGGGGGCAAGCGUUGUUCGGAAUUAUUGGGCGUAAAGGGCGCGUAGGCGGCCUUUCAAGUGACGGGUGAAAUCCCCCGGCUUAACCGGGGAACUGCCUGUCAGACUGGGAGGCUUGAGACCGGGAGAGGUGAGUGGAAUUCCCAGUGUAGCGGUGAAAUGCGUAGAUAUUGGGAGGAACACCAGUGGCGAAGGCGGCUCACUGGACCGGUACUGACGCUGAUGCGCGAAAGCGUGGGGAGCAAACAGG